rnacentral:hammerhead_ribozyme from 1 species
AUCCGGCUGACGAGUCCCAAAUAGGACGAAAUGCGCGUCGUCGAU